AGUUUCUCUCCCCCAUCCCUGCUAAUCAACCUGCCUAGUUGCAGGUAAUGUGGAAAGCCUUACCCUUUAAUUACAUAUAGGUGAGGUUUUAGCUCUGCUGUUCAAAACUUGCAGUGUCCAGGAAGGAAGGGAAUGUGCUAAGCUACUUAGGGGAAGUGCUUAUGUGUGGUGAAGGUGAUGCUGACUGAGACUGGGCCUACUUGGUAGUAAUAAUUUUGAAAGGGGUCUUGAAUUACAAAGGGAUCUGCUGAGGAAAUAUCAUGAAGGAGAAUUUGGAUUCGGAGGCAUCAUUGCUCUACAUUUUCCUCUGAUAUUUUAGCAUUUCAAACUUCAAGUGUGGUUUUGAUGUCCUCAAAAACUUCACAGGACAGCUGAGUAAGGCUACUGGAAUGAUAUUUAGGCUACACUCUGUACAAGGGGAAAUCAUAUGAGUAACUGACCUUACAACUUUGCUGGUGGUCCAAUACCGUGAGGGAAGCCCAGUAAAAUGUUGGCCAUGAAAAUUAACUUUUCUCUUGACCUUGCAAAUACUUUUUCAGUGAAGGCAGUCCUGACUGGAAUUUGAAAUCAUAUCAUCCAGCAUAUGAGAGCCUCUGAGAUCCUGCUUGGAGGAUACAUUUGUGAAAAUAAGUCUGUGAGGGCAGUCACAAGAGGAAGAUCAGAGUAAUAUGAAAAGCAUGACUGCGGACUCAAGCAAGACACUGGAAGUGGGGAAAUGAAUCACUAGACAUGAUACCACGGGCUGGUUGUUUGACAUGUCUGGCCAGAGGGUCAGGAAAGAAAAGGGGAAGCUAUGGAGAGAGAGUAACUCAAGAAGUGGGUUAUUUCUUAUUUUCUUUAGUGACAUGGAUUGUCCUAAUCUGGAUUAGUUUGUGUAGAAUUUAAAGUGCAGAUGCUCAGCUGAUAUCAGUUGUCACAGCUCCGUUGAAGUCAAUGGAGUUACAAUCUCUAACACCAGCUGAGGAUCUGCCCCUAAGGCUCUAGCUAUGUUGUCCCUACUGUUUCUUUUGUUUUGAUUUGAUUUUAUCUAUUAAUCUUUUACAACAACCACAGUGAGGUCAGACUGCUUUUGGGGAACUGCACCUGGAGAGGUGAAAAAGACUUUUCACCUCUAAGAAGUGGUAAAGAAAGAUGAGUACCCUACUGGAGGGUGUGAACCUCUCUCAUGAACUGUCUUACCAUCAUGGCUACAAAUACUUGGAAUGGAGGCCUCCAGUGACCAUGGACAAGAACAGGGUGUAAGGUCACAGAAGCUCCAUGCACCCUGCUGUGCAGGGGAGCAGCUAUCCACAUUCAGUUAAGAAUUACCUAGUGCAGACUAAGAGAACAACAAGAGCAAGAAAGAACAUGAUGAAAGUAUUCACAAGAGAGAAUGUUGUGUGUCUCCUCUGACUAUCUGUACUGAACUGACCAUAAAAUGCCUGGUGGGCUAUGCAGCCAGGAGGCAAAGUUCUCUCCAAUUAAGUAUAGGAGACAUAGAAAACAAGUCAUAACCAAGGCUACGAUUUAGUCGUGGAGGUCAUGGCAGUCAGGGAUUCCGUGACUUUACCGGACCUCCAUGACUUCUUCCGUUUCAGCUGUCAGCAACUGAAGCGGGGGCUGAAGGCAGGACUGUGCCCCCCUGCGCCACUGCAACUGGGGCUGGAUGGCUAGAAUCAAGACCCUGCAGUUCCUGCCCUGCGGUUUGCGGGGAAUGGCGGGACUGCAGCCGGGCUGUGCGUCCCUUUCCCGCAGCUGCGGCCAGCUGCACACCCGCUGCUGGGCCCCAGCCCCACGGCUUCUGUGGGGGCUGUGCUGGGGCCAUGUGCCCCAGCUCCUGCAGCUUUCACCGGGGGCUGCAGCUGGGGCCGCGUGCCCUUGCCCUGUGGGGUGAACUGCAGCGGGGGCUGUGCGCCCCUGCCUCGCAGCAUCCCAGGGCUGCGCGCCCCCUCCUGGCUGUGCCUGGCAUUUGGGGGGAGGCUGCAGCUGGGGCUGGGCACCUCUGUCCCCCGCUGCGGCCACUGGAGCUGGGGCUGUUUCCCCCGCCAUGGUGGGGGUCUUGGCCUGUCAUUCCCGCCACCACCCACCCAUGGGACUCCAUUCCUCUCCCUGUUUAGCCCUACCCCUGGUUAUUUUUAGUAAAGUCAGGGAUAGGUCAUGGGCUCCCUGAAUUUUUGUUUAUUGCCCUGACCUGUCCCUGACUUUUACUAAAAAUAACCAUGACAAAAUCUUAGCCUUAGUCAUAACAGACGCCAGUGACAUGCACCACAGACUGGAGUUCAGAGCGGCUCCAUGUCUUCUCUACAAACUGGGAAAGAGGGGAAGUUUUCUCUUCCUGUUGCCCUGGUGCAGCCUUUUUUUCUCUUCUUUUCUGGAGCUGAUUCUGUUGUAAACCUGUCUUUUCUUGUUACUUCAUGUGGGUGUUUGCAGUUGUCUGUAAAGAUACAUAAGGGGGACAAGAAGCCUGGUUUGUUAUGUUUCAGUGGCUAAAUGUUAUGUGUGUGACAGCAAAAUACCUUUAUUUGUGAUAUUUGCCUACAUACAUUGGCGCAUGUAAUUAGGCCCAUGCAGUUGUGUUGUGCACAUCAAAGAAGAUCACAAGCUUCUCCACUGAAGUCAAUGGACUUAAACUGCUGUUAGUGUGAGCAGAAAGCCCUUUGGAUCUUGACUGUCAUUAUUGUCUUAGGAAUCUCCUGUAAAGAAAGGAACUCCCCAUAAUCUGUUCCCUUUUGUGCUCCCUUUUUGCAGAAGUCUGUGUGAUCAAAUGUUUCUGUCACAAAUAUUUAUGGAAAGUGAAGCUGAAGUCGACUUGCUCAAAGACAUAUUAAAGGCAAUUUU